rnacentral:rRNA from 1 species
CGUAGGUGGCAAGCGUUAUCCGGAUUUACUGGGUGUAAAGGGCGUGUAGGCGGGAUUGCAAGUCAGAUGUGAAAACCACGGGCUCAACCUGUGGCCUGCAUUUGAAACUGCAGUUCUUGAGUACUGGAGAGGCAGACGGAAUUCCUAGUGUAGCGGUGAAAUGCGUAGAUAUUAGGAGGAACACCAGUGGCGAAGGCGGUCUGCUGGACAGCAACUGACGCUGAGGCGCGAAAGCGUGGGAGCAAACAGGAUU